AGAGUUUGAUCAUGGCUCAGAUUGAACGCUGGCGGAAUGCUUUACACAUGCAAGUCGAGCGGCAGCGCGGGGCAACCUGGCGGCGAGCGGCGAACGGGUGAGUAACAUAUCGGAACGUACCCUAUCGUGGGGGAUAACACAUCGAAAGAUGUGCUAAUACCGCAUACGACCUGAGGGUGAAAGCGGGGGAUCGCAAGACCUCGCGCGACAGGAGCGGCCGAUAUCGGAUUAGCUAGUUGGUGAGGUAAAGGCUCACCAAGGCGACGAUCCGUAGCUGGUCUGAGAGGACGACCAGCCACACUGGAACUGAGACACGGUCCAGACUCCUACGGGAGGCAGCAGUGGGGAAUUUUGGACAAUGGGGGCAACCCUGAUCCAGCCAUUCCGCGUGAGUGAAGAAGGCCUUCGGGUUGUAAAACUCUUUCGGCAGGAACGAAACGGUGAGCUCUAACAUAGCUUGCUAAUGACGGUACCUGAAGAAGAAGCACCGGCUAACUACGUGCCAGCAGCCGCGGUAAUACGUAGGGUGCGAGCGUUAAUCGGAAUUACUGGGCGUAAAGCGUGCGCAGGCGGCUCUAUAAGACAGAUGUGAAAUCCCCGGGCUUAACCUGGGAACUGCGUUUGUGACUGUAGGGCUAGAGUGUGGCAGAGGGGGGUGGAAUUCCACGUGUAGCAGUGAAAUGCGUAGAGAUGUGGAGGAACACCGAUGGCGAAGGCAGCCCCCUGGGUUAACACUGACGCUCAUGCACGAAAGCGUGGGUAGCAAACAGGAUUAGAUACCCUGGUAGUCCACGCCCUAAACGAUGCGAACUAGGUGUUGGAGAAGGAGACUUCUUUAGUACCGUAGCUAACGCGUGAAGUUCGCCGCCUGGGGAGUACGGUCGCAAGAUUAAAACUCAAAGGAAUUGACGG
rnacentral:rRNA from 1 species